UCCUACGGGAGGCAGCAGUAGGGAAUAUUGGACAAUGGGGGAAACCCUGAUCCAGCAAUGCAGCGUGAGUGACGAAGGCCUUAGGGUUGUAAAACUCUUUCAUCGGUGAGGAUAAUGACAGUAGCCGAAGAAGAAGGACCGGCUAAUUCCGUGCCAGCAGCCGCGGUAAUACGGAAGGUCCUAGCGUUGUUCGGAAUUACUGGGCGUAAAGCGCAUGUAGGCGGAACAAAAAGUUAGAAGUGAAAUCCCUGGGCUCAACCUAGGAAUUGCUUUUAAAACUUUUGUUCUGGAAUUCAGGAGAGGAAAAUGGAAUUUCCAGUGUAGAGGUGAAAUUCGUAGAUAUUGGAAGGAACACCAGUGGCGAAGGCGAUUUUCUGGACUGAUAUUGACGCUGAGAUGCGAAGGCAUGGGUAGCAAACGGGAUUAGAUACCCCGGUAGUCCAUGCAGUAAACGAUGGGUGCUAGUCGUCGGACUUUUGUUCGGUGUCGUAGCUAACGCGUUA
rnacentral:rRNA from 1 species